AGUCUAUUAUGUGGACAAUCUCUUACUAGCCUUUUGAAUCUCGCCUAUGCGUCACUUAAUGUUUCAUGCUCUUCCUGUUGAAAAUUUGUGAUUUCCCUUCUCCUUUU